AGAACAAGAACAAGAGAACAUUCUUCCAGACAGAAUGGAGGGACGAUUUGGGUGACAUCUGAGACGCAGUCGCACAUCAACAAGCAGCCGGGCUCCGGGGACAUGGCGGCGGCCUCUGUGGUCUCGGUGCUGCUGAUGGCGACUGAGAGGAGCCGGUGGCAGCGCCUCCUUAGCCCGCUGCUGCGGCGGAGGUAACGGUCGCGCCCUGGGGCGGGGUAUGUCUGGCCUGCCAGCGCCCAGAGAGGUGAGGAGGGGGAGGAGGACCAGAGAAAAGAAUCCGCGAGACCCGGAGUUCUGCUUUCAGUCCCACCCUGAAAGCUGGAGAAAUUUUCUGCUGGGAAGCUCAUCCUCAAAGAGAAAGCUGAGACCGCUGCGUUCGAAAUUCAGACGUGACAUAAGAUCCAAAUGGCAAUCCUGGCACUUGACUACUGUGUGAAAACAACUUGCCAUGCCUGCAUUGUGGGAACGGUGUUCAAAAUGAAACGCACAACAUACAAGCCGAAAUACCACUUACGGUUGUUGGUAUUUCAGGGAGAACACCCAAUACAUUAAAUACAAGAUAUCUUUAUUACUACUGUUGAUGUUGAAGCAGAUAAAAAUGCGGAGUCCAGGCAUUAAAGGUCAAAUCCACAAGACUUACCAAAAAGUAAAUACAAGUAUUCAGGUUGGGUUGCUUUCUGCCUUAAUGUCAAUCAGUAUGUUGGAAGUUAUCAAGAAGUUCAAAUUCUGAUGAAGAAGGAAGAAUUGACCCACGAAAUUGUCAACAUUUCAUAAUAUUUUUGAAAGGGAAUUGGCAGUGGAGGUUGAUUUGGGAGAAAAGCUGUGGCCAUAAACAUUGAAGAAGACGAGCAGAUUCUUUGUGACAUUGAGACUUUCUACAGUACCACAGUGGAGGAAAUGCCAAUGAAUGUGGCUCACAGCACUCACUCUUGUGGACUAGGUGAUAACAAUGUGCAUUGUGCUUUUUUCUUUGGGGAUAUUUGAAGCUUGUCUCAAAGCUCAUAACGGAUCAGAAAUACAGAUUUUGAUAGUAAUGCUACUCUUACUCAUGAGCUCAUAUGAGGAAGGUCAUUGGGUUUAUCUUCUUUCGAAUUAGAAUAAUGGACUUGGAUAUUAAAGGUGGGGUUGUAAAAGUCAUUCUUAGAAGUUUAUUUCCUAGUUCUGUAAAAAUGGUUACCCUGAGCGUUCUCUGUCAUCUAAUACUAUAUUUGUGGCCUGGAUAAUAUGUGCUGUAGAAAAGAAGCCAAUUCUAUUAAGCUAGUGUAUCUGCUUUUAUUGUGUAGUCAUUAGACUGAAUAGAACAAACUUGAAAACAAACUUGAUUUUUUUUAAGGUAUUUGAAUUCU